CCCUGCCAUUUGUACACACCGCCCGUCGCUCCUACCGAUUGAAUGAUCCGGUGAAAUGUUCGGAUCGCGGCGACGUGGGCGGUUCGCUGCCCGCGACGUCGCGAGAAGUCCAUUGAACCUUAUCAUUUAGAGGAAGGAGAAGUCGUAACA
rnacentral:rRNA from 1 species